AUGGAAAACCACAGGCAGGUCCAGAGAACAGAAGAGACAGGCUUGCUUUUACAGAAGAAAGGAGGAAACGGGCUAGGGCUCUGGUGGUUCUCAGCUGCAGGCAGUGGGCAGCUUGCUGCUGGGUCGGAAGGCAGGGCUCUGUGAGCUGUGCUGAUAUGUGUGUGAAAGCAUCCACUUCAAGGCUUCCUGGUUCCUUUAAGUGAGGUUUCCUUCAUUUCAUUUCAGAGUAGCUUGGAAGCAGACUGUUUGAGGACCACUGGGAGCAAGACCUUUCCUGCUAAUAAAAGCCCCAGAUGACUGAACAUAGGAGACAAGGCAAGAUUCGGGACUCAAGGCUUUCAUGCUGAUGUCCUGAAUAGGUCUUUGGUUUUUUCAUUGAGUUUCCUGGGAUGACUGUGAACCAUGGUUGGACAACCUGCAGACAGAGAAUCGGAAGACUAAGCCUGGAUUUUGAACACCGAAGUUUUUGGAAUCAACAUUAAACUCUGGCAAAGAAGACCAGAGCCUCCUAAGAAUGUACAUUUAGUACCCAGCAGUUUCCUGAGGGACCUUACCUGACAUGCUAGAAGGCUUGGAGCAUGCCAUGAGGAGGUUGCCCAAGUUGGAGGGAGCAAAGCAGAGGAAAUAAUGACCUCUGUACAAGUGGAACUUGGAUCCAAAAUGCCAGCAGGGAAGAGCAAAAGUUUUACUUCUCAUUUCCUCACUGGACACAUAAUUUUGAUUUAUAAACCCAACAGUCCCGAGUAAAAGGAAGUUUUAAACAAAGCCGAUGCCCCUGCCUUGGGUUGUUUUUCUCCUCUGCCUGCAAUAUUUUCAGAAAAAUGCUUUGACUGGACUUCGUGAAGAUGCAAAUCCAACUUGUGCCCAGGAAACCUCCUGACUCUGACUCCCCAGGGCCUCUGAGUUCCUCUCGUUCAAGGGCCUCAUCUUAUAAAUUCCACUGAACUUGCUUCAACGGCAAUGUACUUUCAACUGGGAUAAAUCUGUCUUCCAAUAUUACGUCUUGUAAAUCUCACUUUGCAGGGUAUUUGCAGUCCAGCUACUGCCUGCUUACUUUAUUGACUAGGAAUGAAUAAAUCAGUUUUCCAUCUCUCUCCAUUGCUGAUAUUUUGA